rnacentral:tRNA from 1 species
AAUGAAUUGCCUGAAAAAAGGGUUACCUUGAUAGGGUAAAUAAUGUAAUAUAAUUACAUUCA